rnacentral:rRNA from 1 species
GCCCCAGAGGAAAUCUGAGGUGUGACCUGCCCAGUGGUUUGAAAGUCAACCAAAAUAAAAAAACAUUAAUCAAACUAAAAGGACGCGGUAACCUUGACCGUGAUAAUGUAGCAUAAUCAUUCGCCAUUUAAUUGAUGGAUAGUAUGAACGGUUGAACGAAUAUUUAACUGUCUUAGAAAGAGAAAAAGUAAACUAGAAUAAUAGUGAAGAUACUAUUUAAAGUUGUAAGACGAAAAGACCCUAUAGAGCUUAACUAUAACCUUUCUAAAAAAACCAUGAAAAAAGUCACUAAAAAGAAAGGGUGAUAGUUUAGUUGGGGCGACUACCUUUUAGAAUAAACAAAGGUAAACAAAGUCAACUUAGAAACUUACUGUAGAGAUAAAUAUCUCAGCAGUUACGAAAGUAGGUAAUAAUGACCCGUUCGAAAGUGGUAAAAUUUCUAACGAUUAAUUGAUAAAAGCUACCUUAGGGAUAACAGGAUAAUUACUUUCUAGAGAUCCGAUCGAAAUUGUAGUUUGUCACCUCUAUGUUGAAUUAAGAUAACCCGGUGAUGUAGAAGUUACCAAAGGUAGGUCUGUUCGACCUUUAAAAUCUU